rnacentral:rRNA from 1 species
CGCCAGACUCCUACGGGAGGCAGCAGUGAGGAAUAUUGGUCAAUGGGCGCGAGCCUGAACCAGCCAAGUCGCGUGAGGGAGGACGGCCCUACGGGUUGUAAACCUCUUUUGCCGGGGAGCAACGGGCGUCACGUGUGGCGCCACUGAGAGUACCCGGAGAAAAAGCAUCGGCUAACUACGUGCCAGCAGCCGCGGUAAUACGUAGGUGGCGAGCGUUAUCCGGAAUGAUUGGGCGUAAAGGGUGCGCAGGCGGCAUGUCAAGUCUGAAGUGAAAGGUACGGGCUUAACCUGUACAGGCUUUGGAAACUGGCAUGCUAGAGGACAGGAGAGGGCGGUGGAACUCCAUGUGUAGCGGUAAAAUGCGUAGAUAUAUGGAAGAACACCAGUGGCGAAGGCGGCCGCCUGGACUGUUGCUGACGCUCAGGCACGAAAGCGUGGGGAGCAAAUAGGAUUAGAUACCCGCGUAC